GAAUAAUUCAAAUUACAAAGCUAAUGAUUCUAGGGGAAAUGGAAUAAUUAUCCUCAUUUGUAUUUGCAUUGAAAAAAAUUUAAUGACCAAUUUUGACAAGCAAAUUGUUAAAAUGGAGAAGAGGAUGAGUAAAAUACAGAUAAAUGUGUAAAAGAAGAUUCUUAGCCAUACAUAAUUACAUAUAACUUACCAAACUCACUUGGAAAGAAAAAUCAACUUCUUAAUAGGAUCAAUGACAAUAAUUUCAAACUGUAAAGCAAACCAUCUGAGUUUUACAAAGAAGUGUGUAGAUGCAUCAUUCAAAACUCAUCUGUAGGGAGUACAUGCUGAUUCUAACUUCCAAAACACCAUAUAACGAAAAAUGUGCAAAAUCAAAUGCAAGUUUUUUCUUGUCCUACAUGCAGAUGCAAUGCUUUAGUUCCCCAUUGGCAUGGUACUUCAACUGCCUAAUUGCAUGAGUUAAGCAUUAACAAGACAAUAAAUAGCUUUUACUAUUCCUUUCAAUUGUGCAAACAAAGUAGAAAUCUUAGUCUUUGGGUGCAUUAAGACACAAAGGCGUAGCAAUACAAAAUAAAAUUGCAGGAUUGGGGGGAACUCAAAAUUUGUAAGAGAGAAAUGAGAAAAAUGCUGGAAUGGGUAAAAAUUAAGGAACCAAAACAACUUUUUGGAGGUUGCAACUCUGUAGUUAAGAUGGCAAAGCAUAUUUUAUCUCGAUUACCAUAUUUAUGGGCAUACGGGCGUGGAUUCAGCUGAAGUUUACUCAAUUUUGGGACCCCUGUAUCCUCCUUCUACACUCAAAAAAUACUUGCUAUACAAAGAGACACAUGAAUAGCGUAGCACUUUAGGAUAAACUCUCCAGCACAGCAAGGCUUUUUCUAAGGAUCAAAUAGUCAAUACCUACUUCAGUGACUACUCGCUAGAGAAACCUAUUCAUUUACUAGUUAUCCAGAUUAGGCUCCCCUCUUAUAUUUCUUUUGAAAUCAAACAAGUAUGCUAGAAGACACAAAAGCUUGUGCAUCAAACAAGCUGAUUGAAAAGGAAAUUUAUGAUGAUUGGCCCAAAAAUGGCCUAAAUAUUCAGAAGCAUACACAUUAUGUCAUUAUCUGAAAGUUGUACAACCGCAUAAAACUAAGAAAAGCAUUAUCUUUUCCACUCAAUACAAGAGUUAAAAUACACUAAAUACUUAUUUAAGUCUAUUUAGGUCAACAUUUGUAUGCUGUUAUUUUGUCUAAAUGCAAACUUGACACUCCAAUGCUAUGCAUACACUCAGAAAAUCCAAUCAAAGUUGAUAGCUUUCUGAAUCAAGGAAAGAAAAUUAGUAUCCAAACCAUACUUAUCUUUAUUGAUCAUUCUUCUCUGUCAUACUAUCUAUAAUUCCGAUAAGGAAAGAAAGGUUUAACUCUACAAAAGAAUAAAGAAUGUAUAUAAAUGACAAAGAAGGGUUUAAGGGUCUUAGCAAAAAUCUCCAUUGUCUAGCACGUACACACAAUUAGGAAACAUUUUGGUCAGACCAAUUGCACUAACGAAAAUACCAAUAUGAAUAGAACACAAAUUCAUGAGAAAAUCAAUGAACCCACAAAGCAAAACUAAAUAUUCCAUCCAUUUCUUUUCACAUUUUCACAAUUUAUCAACAACAAAAUUCAAGAAAAUUCUUUGUGUAAAUAAGCAAAAUGUUCUCUCUCAUAAGCAUUUCAUCGAACAAGUGGUAUGCCCAUGGUUAUUCAAUUACGAAACAGAUCCAAUAUAUU
rnacentral:misc_RNA from 1 species